CACGAGUGAGGCCUCCUGCUCUCGUGCGAGAGCGAGAACUACCAGACGGCAAAAGCCACCCACGACUCCCUCACCCUGGCUAGGGUUCCUAGCCCCUCCUCCUCAGCCGCCGUUGCGUGUUCACCUCGCCCGAGCGGCUUCCCGACCUCGUCGGGAGAGGCCAGCAGGACCCCGCCGUCAUGCCUCCGUUUCCCCCAUCUCCUCUUUUCUGCUACCUAUUUCUCUCCUGUGAACUGCGCGUCGUUCCUCUCUGCAGGUGCCGCCAUGGCCGCGUCAUGGAGCUCGCCGCCAUGGGCUGUGUGCCCCUCCGACGACGGCCUGCCUCACCCACGUCUAGAUCUACAAGAGAUCAAGAAGGGUGAUGUUCUGGAUGCUGAUCUCAACUAAUAGUUGCCAGAUGAACUAUGCAAUGACAGCAUGGAUGAGUUCACAUUUACUUCGUGGACCAUCACCAACCGGAUGGAGGUGAAGCAAGUGGGCAAGUCAGGGAAAUGCUCGGAAGGCUAUCGAGAAGAUCAACGAUCUUAACCCCACGAUCCUAAUUUUAGUUUGUACCUCGCUGUUGGGCUGUCAGAAAAGUUUGGAGGAGGAGCAAUGAUAUGACAAUUGUGGCUAACUUUAUUGUCAUUAGUGAUAUAUGUGCUAAUGGACCUUCGGGUUCUCCAUUAUGUUUACCGGCCGGUUUGUCAUCUGAAAAAUACCCGAUAGCAUAGUGGACAGUGCUUUUUUUGGUCAGAAGUAGUAUUUCUACAUGAAACUAAGUUAUAUAUGCGUAUGAGAAAUGUGGCUGAGAAAUGUGGCUUAUCUUUAGAUAAUGCUUUUUUUGGUUAGAAGUUGUUUUUCUACAUGAAACUAAGGUAUAGAUGCAUAUGAGAAAUUAGCUCUUUGCUUAACUGAAUAAAUUGUAUUUGCUCCUUUCAGCCGGAGCCUGGACGUGAUACGAUUUGUACAAUAUGGUUAGAAUAAGAUAUUGUUUGUAUACUGUUGAGUGAAGUAUUGUAUAACUACUGUAAAGUGGGUGUAGGUUUUUAUUGUGCAUUUUACACAGAUGUUCUGGCGCUUGGACACAACCAUAUGUACAAGUUGAAGCCUUCAUUUGGUUUUGACUUCUUAACUUGACUCAAAUUUUGACAUGCAGAUUCUAGGUAUGAAUUCUCUAUAAUACUUCCAUCUAGAAGCACAAAACUUGAUAGUGUUGAUGAAGGGUCGGAAAAAUACAUGAAGCUUUGAAAUUUUCGCAAGAAGAACUAGCACCAAGAGCCGAGUAAACGCAAGCAUUUCUUUAGGAAACAGAAAAAUCUGCAGCAACUAUUUGAUGUUUCUCGAUGCUUGAAGACAACAAGUGAAGUUGUUGCUACUAUCUUACAAGCCAAAGUCAUGAAAAAGGUAUGCACUAUGUGGCAGAUGCAUGCAUAUGAUGUGAUGCCCGUUUUAUUUUCAUAUAUAUCUUACACUUUAAUUUCACUGCAGUGUACCUAAAUCCAUGUGGUAGUGUCAUCGGCAUACAUAAUAUUUUACGCAUACAAACACUAUCUCUCACAACAAAUGAUUGGUUUCUAAAUUCUAAUCUUUUGGUUCUGGUUAAAGAAUUACGUGAUGGAGGAUGGAGUUGUCCUUCGAAGAAUUGUUUAAAGAACUAAAAAGUAGUAACACCAUGUCUUUCAAAUGCCAAAUUGGAAUUGCAACGCGCUGACUCAUGUAUGGGGUCCGCGGAUGCUGAUUGGAACCUUUGAUAGUUAGGAGAUCAUACAUAAACCAUACAUAAACCUAUGAUAAUUAGGAGAAGUUUUGUAGUACUCCCUUCGUUCCUAAAUAUAAGACUUUCCAGAGAUUGUAAUAGGGACUACAUACGGAUGUAUAGAGGCAUACUUUAGAGUGUAGAUUCACUCAUUUUGGUCCGUAUGUAGUCUCUAUUGGAAUCUCUAGAAAGACUUAUAUUUAGGAACGAAGGAAGUACAAUAUUUGUCCAUGUGUUGUAGUAAAUUUGUCCAAUGCAAGUCACCAUAAGUCAAUGUGUGUGGAACAAUAAAAUGGAAGAAGUUUAACUAAGGGGGCACUUUAAUUAAAUAACUUUAUUUUUAAAUCCCCAUUCUUCAAUCUUUUAGGAUUCGUGCAAUUUUGAGUGUCUGCAUGUGCAUGCUAUUUUAGGUUCUUAGGGUUUUUUCCUCAAUCUUUGGAUAGGACUAUAACUUCUCAAGUGUGGGAGCUGAAAAAAAAGUAGAAGAGCAUGCCUAAUCCCUCCAAAUAAAAAUAAAUAUAUCUCAUGAGGCUUUGGAGACACAUCACCAAUGGAAAAUUUACUAACUUACAUGCUUAGGCAGGUUCAUAGGUUGAUAGCAAGGAGUCGAUAGCAAGGAUCAUGUGUGCUGUUUUGUUUUAAUUUAUACAAAAAAUUAUCUCUACAAUGUGUUGAUAUUAAGGAAUAAUAACUGAAAACUUCUAGAGGUUUACAUCUAUGAAGUUGCCUAGAAAAUGGACUGUAAAAUGUUUUUUAUGUGGAGGCAUAAAGAUUAAUUCACUAUUUUGUUUUCGUAAAACGGUUGUUUACUCGCCAAUUUGUAUAGUUAAAUCCAUCUAUUAAGGAUACAUCAUUGAAAAGUAUUAUUUUUUACUUCACUCAAUCAUUUAGUCGGGUGAUAAAGUGUUGGGAGACUACAAAGUUCAUGCUCUAUUCACACAUGGUGGAGGCAACCCAACAAGUUGUUACGGAACCAGCAGAUAAAGAGUCGAGGAACCCGCAUCAUAGGAGAGUCAUCGAGGGGCAUCCUGAUAACGUGAGACACUACAUUUUAUAUAUAUGAUCAUAAUAUAUAACCAUAUUCUACAUACAAUGCACGCCGAGUAUUCUUUGUUGCACAUUCUUAAAUCUUUCACGUAAAUCUUCAUGCUCACUAUUGCUCGUGCAGGUUGGUUGUGAGCUGAAAAUGAAAAUUUUAUUUUACUUGUUGAAGUAGUGUGCGAACGAAGCUAAAGACCAUAUUCCCGGCGUUGUACAGGAAUAUCUCAAGCGUAGCAAGUAGAAUUUAGUUUGUAACAGAUAAUAAUUUGGAUCAUUGCCCAUUUUGUAUGUACAUCAUCAAAUUACAUUGCAUGUGAAGCGGAUUUCAAUUAUUUUCUAAUUGUUGUGGGUUAUCUUUUCUAUACAUGUAAGUUUUCACAUGCAUUAUAUAUUAUUUGGAAGGGGAACUACAAAAUUACUCUUGGCUGAACUAUAUGCAUUAUAUUUAUAUGUGUAAUCAGAAAACAAAGGCCCGUGGCAACGCACAGGCUUUCUACUUGGCAUGCCGUGAGUUUCUUUUUGCGGUAGCUAAUCCUGGCAUGCAAUCAAUGAUAAGUUCUUUAUUUAAUUAAUACAAUAAUUUAAUUCUUUAGUAAGUCUUGAUUUUUUACAUCUAUUCUCAUUUAUUAACACGUGUGCAUUUGAUGGAAAAAGGAAAGAGAUCUGCACCAUACAACAAUAUAUGGUAGAACUAGAAUAAUCCAUGAUCUGCUACCUAGUUAUCCUCCGCAUGGUCUACCUAUAUAUGUUCGUAGAACAGUUUUAUAAGGCAUUACAAACCAAUGGGUAAGCACUUGUUACAUUGGUUUGUUUAUUUGUUUCAUCAAGACACUAUUCGAAAGCAUUAUUUUAUAAUAUUAUAGCAUAUGAUGUGGACUAUUUAUGCUAAAUUAUCUGGAAUAUUGGACAUCAAAUGCAUUAUCAGACCAGUUCACCCAGGUAUUACAUUUUUAUACAUUAUAUUAUUAAUUUAUCUCAAAAUAUUAUAUCAAUUUAUAUAUAUACAUAUAAUUUCUAGGAUGAUAUGAAACACUUUCGACAAAAAAUAGCUGUCAUUUUGCUCGAUUCAGAGCUAAAUAAGCUAAUAGGAAGUCCCAUAUACCAUCAACCUGACAAUGAAGAAACUUUAGCUAAUUCUGAUCUCGAGAUUUUGGAGAAUGCACCUGACGUAGUCAAAGACAAACAUCCUGCCCCAACCACCAUCAUGCCCACCGACCAACGUGAAUUACUUGCCGGCCUCUGCAACUUCAUCAUGUCGGUGGAUGAUGUCGGGUGUUUGGAUUAAGUACCAUGUAUCAAUAUUUAAUGUGUGCAUGUAUAUUAUUAUUAUUCUUACCAUCCAAUUAUAAGGAAGGAAUGGGUCCGGAGCUUGACACCCGAUUCAAUGGGCUUAACUCUUAAGAAACUUCAGUGCAUACUUAACAUGGAGCAGGCUAUGGACAAUGAUUGCUUCAACACCGCCGUGCGUAUACUGGCAUGUGACGAGGGAGUAUUGUUCACAGACCCUCCUAUACACUACAUGGAUCUAAGAUUUUGUUCCAUGAUGCUAGAGUCAACAAAAGGUCAGAAGUUUGGCUAGAAGGAAACUAUCCAGACGUUGGCAGCAUUAUUUGAUAGCUGGCAUAGGAUGGACAACAACAUCUCAUCAUGCAACAUGAUUCUAGGUAUGAAUUCUCUAUAAUACUUCCAUCUGGAAGCACAAAACCUGAUAGUGUUGAUGAAGGGUCGGAAGAAUACAUGAAGCUUUGAAAUUUUCGCAAGAAGAACUAGCACCAAGAGCCGAGUAAACGUAAGCUUUUCUUUAGGAAACAGAAAAAUCUGCAGCAAAUAUUUGAUGUUUCUCGAUGCUUGAAGACAACAAGUGAAGUUGUUGCUACCAUCUUACAAGCCAAAGUCAUGAAAAAGUCAGGUGAUAAAAUGUUGGGAGAUUACAAAAUUCAUGCUCUAUUCACACAUGGUGGAGGCAACCCAACAAGUUGUUAUGGGAGCCAGCAGAGAAAGGAGUCGAGGAACCCGCAUCAUGGGAGAGUCAUCCAGGGGCAUCUGGAUAAAGUUAGGCACUACAUUGUAUAUAUAUGGUCAGAAUAUAUGACCAUAUUCUACAUACAAUGCACGCAGAGUAUUCUUUGUUGCACAUUAUUAAAUCUUUCAUGCUAAAUCUUCAUCCUAACUAUAUACAUUGCUCGUGUAGGUUGGUUAUGAGCUGAAAAUGUAGAUUCUAUUGCCCUUUUUGAAGUAGCGUGCGAACGAAGCUAAAGACCAUAUUCCUGGCGUUGUACAGGAAUAUCUCAAGCGUAGCAAGUAGAGUUUAGUUCGUAACAGAUAAUUAUUUGGAUCAUUGCCCGUUUUGUCUGUACAUCGUCAAAUGACAUUGCAAGUGAAGCAGAUUUCAAUUAAUUUCCAAUUUUUGCGGGUUAUCUUUUCUAUACAUGUGUGCAUUUGAUGGAAAAAGGAAAGAGAUCGAUAGCAUACAACAAUAUAUGGUAGAACUAGAAUAAUCCAUGAUCUGCUACCCAGUUAUCCUUCGCAUGGCCUAUCUAUAUAUGUUCGUAGAGCAGUUUUAUGAGGCAUUAUAAACCGAUGGCGUAUGAUGUGGACUAUAUAUGCUAAAUUAUAUGGAAUAUUAGACAUCAAAUGCAUUAUCAGACCAGUUCACCCAGAGCUAAAUAAGCUAAAAGGAAGUUCCAUAUACCAUCAACCUGACGAUGAAGAAACUUUAGCUAAUUCUGAUCUCGAGAUUUUGGAGAAUGCACUUGACGUAGUCAAAGACAAACGUGCUGCCCAGCCACCAUCAUGCCAUGGACCAACGUGAAUUACUUGCCGGCCUCUGCAACUACAUCAUGUCGGUGGAUGAUGUCGGGUGUUUGGAGAAGGAAUGGGUCCGGAGCUCGACACCCGAUCCAAUGGGCUUAACUCUUAAGAAACUUCAGUGCAUACUUAACAUGGAGCAGGCUAAGGACAAUGAUUGCUUCAACACCGCCGUGAGUAUACUGUCCAUGAUGCUAGAGUCAACAAGAGGUCAGAAAUUUUGCGAGAAGGAAACUAUCCAAACGUUGGCAACAUUAUUUGAUAGCUGGCAUGGGAUGGACAACAACAUCUCAUCGUGCAACAUGGAAUAUGUCUGGCUAUUUUGUUUUUAUUUUAUGCUCUAGUGGAACGGUACAGAAUUGGUCAAGCCGGUUUGCGCGUAUGGGUAUGAGUUGAGGAAGCAGUUUUUAUUAUACCUGCUAAAACACCGUGGGAAUGAAGCUAAAGACAAUUUCCAUGAUAUUGUUAAAGAAUUUCUUAAGCGCAUCUUCUAGAUAUUGAUAAUUUUGAAAUAGAUGUUUAGAUGGAACAUCACUCAGUUUGUUACAUGGACAUGUCGUUAGUCUUUCUUUUUGUUGUCAAUUUUCAUUGC